rfam:Oryza brachyantha chromosome 8, whole genome shotgun sequence.
GGUAACCUCAUUUUUCGUUUUUCCGUGUCCAACGUUUGACCAUUCGUCUUAUUUAAAAUUUUUUCACGAUUAAUAUUUUUAUUAUUAUUAGAUGAUAAAAUAUAAAUAGUACUUUAUACGUGACUAAUUUUUUAAGUUUUGCACAGAUUUUUUAAAUAAGACAAAUGGUCAAAUGUUGAAAAAAAAAAU